ACAAGUUGGCUGCUGUCGCCUGCGCAUCGGCGGGCCGGGAGGCUGAGCAGUACUGUUGAGAGCGGUGUGAGGUGCUUGGUAGCGCGCCGUAGCUGCUUCCACGUCCUUGCUUCACCUCAGGUAAAGAGAGAAGUAAUGGAAGGCCUGUCUGAUGUUGCUUCUUUUGCAACUAAACUUAAAAACACUCUCAUCCAGUACCAUAGCAUUGAAGAAGAUAAGUGGCGAGUUGCUAAGAAAACGAAAGAUGUAACUGUUUGGAGAAAACCCUCAGAAGAAUUUAAUGGAUAUCUGUAAGUAACUUUUUAUAGACUUACACAGCUCUUAAGACAUUUCAAAACUUAUAUCCAUUGUCACUAAGUAGUCAUUGCUAGUAAGAUUUAGCUUUUUAAGAGUUCUUUAACUUU
rnacentral:lncRNA from 1 species